UGCUUACUUUUUUUUUUUUUUUUGGCUAUAGCUCAGGACCAGCUGCUCAGGGAAAGGUGCUGCCCAGUGUGGACUGAGACCUCUUACAUCAAUUAAUAAUCUGGACAACCCCCAGAGACAUGACCACAGGCCAGUCUGUUCUAGGCAAUUCCUUAAUGGAGGCUUUCCUCUCAGAUGACAAGGCUUUAUCCCAUUGACAGUUAAAGCUAAGGAGGCCAAGUUGUAAAGAAUAAAGGUCUCCAGUCCCUAGACUUGGGUCUUUUGUUACUCUAUAGACAGAGAGCUUAGUCUCCAUUAGGCCUAGGAGAUCCUCCCCAUCAUUUUCUACCAAUAGAGUCACUGGAUUUGCUCUGUAAAUAUUUAUAUAAAACUAAAUUGUAGGACAAAGUCAAAUCACCCUGAGCAAAGAGCACUAUAAGCCAGGCAUGACCUGAGCCAGUCACCCAACACUUUUGGUUUUGAACAAGAAACUAAAGUGUGACUCAGAAGGACUGCCCUCAGCCCUACUGUGUUUGGAGUUAAAAGUCUCCCAGCUAGAGGCCACUCAGCUCAGCUAAGGUAAGGGUGUUAGAACAACCAGAAGCACUCCCAUUAAGACACCCAGUUUUCCUAAUUAGUUUUACUGUUUUCCUUUUAUAGGAAAAAAAAAAACUCCUACAAACCUACUAAAGCCAGCCCCCAGGGCUGUUUCUUGUUGUUGCUUGUUUGUUGCCAAUGUCCUUACUACUCCUUUAUGUAGGGAAGUGCUGCCAACUUCUCUGCAGACCCCAUCACACCUUUGCUCCUCCCAGAACCUACCAGUGUCCUGGCCUGGGAUUCUGACCUUCCAGGGAUGUGUGGCUGGGAAGGUCUUGCUGGAACCUAUCCCUACCCAAGUACUGCUGGGUACAGACUGCUUAGCUAUGGGCUGGUCCUGCAGGAAGCUGUCCCUCUCUCACCUUCCUCCACUGACACUGGUUUGAAAAAUUAGGAACCCCAUUUCCUGCCCUGCCUUGCCUUCUAUUUCCCCCGUUCUUUACCUCCCUCCUCUGUGCUUCAUUUAGCACUCUGCAUGCAGCUGUUACUGUGCUUAACACAGUUAUUAGUUGUUUAUGUGUCUCUGCUUGUUCCACUUUUAACUUCUUGAGAACUGGAGAAUUGAUCAUUCAGCAAAACAGGUAUUCAAUAAAGAGGUAUCACAGGAAUUUCCCAUAAUUCUUAUUUUGGUCACUGAAUCAAUGUCUUUCUUAGGGAUGAGGAGAAGGCUCAAGGAAAGAAUGAAGAUGGAGGAGGAAAGGCCUGCUUCUCAGCCGGAGGACUUUCAGGGCUGGGCCACUGAAACAGACCAGCCUGGCACAUCUGGAAUGGGCCCGGGACUUUCAUUCCCAGGCAGCUCAUGGACGGCCACUAAUGUCCAAAGAUGACAAGCAAGCAGCUGGGACCACUUAGGGACCUCUGAGAGCUGAGAUGGCACAGGGUGUCUGGAGAGCGAGAGCCGCAGGCCAGGACAGAGAGAAGAUGAGUAUGAGGCGGGCUUUAGAACUCAUCACCUCAUCAAACGGAACUGACAACUAGAGGAAGGAGUGCAGGGCUUGGCAGCCUCUAGAAGUCAAAGCUGAAUAAAUGACCAGAGGGUAAGUAAUACAUUAGGGCAGAUAGGGACUUUGGUAAAGUAAAAAUCUCAUUUGAUUUAAAUUAUAAAUGGAUGGAUUGGCAUGGAGAAAAAAGAAAAAAGAAUCACAGUGAAACCUGGGUGCUUUAAAAAGCAAGAGAAAGAUGCAUCAGGACAAGGAGGGGGGACCCCAACCUUUCCCCAGUCAGUGAGAAAUUUGGGAGCUGGGCUGAAGACAUUGAGAUUUUCAUUUUCUCCUUUAGAAUUUGCUAUUUAGGCUGAGCAUGGUGUUGCACACAUGUAAUCUCCGCACCCAAGAAACUGGCAGGAAGAUCACCUGCUCUAAAAAAAUAAAUAAAUGAAAAAUCCUUCA